AGAGUUUGAUCCUGGCUCAGGACGAACGCUGGCGGCGCGCCUAACACAUGCAAGUCGAACGGAGCUAAGAGGAGCUUGCUUUUCUUAGCUUAGUGGCGAACGGGUGAGUAACGCGUGAGUAACCUGCCCUGGAGUGGGGGACAACAGUUGGAAACGACUGCUAAUACCGCAUAAGCCCACGGCCCGGCAUCGGGCUGCGGGAAAAGGAUUUAUUCGCUCUAGGAUGGACUCGCGUCCAAUUAGCUAGUUGGUGAGGUAACGGCCCACCAAGGCGACGAUUGGUAGCCGGACUGAGAGGUUGAACGGCCACAUUGGGACUGAGACACGGCCCAGACUCCUACGGGAGGCAGCAGUGGGGGAUAUUGCACAAUGGGGGAAACCCUGAUGCAGCGACGCCGCGUGGAGGAAGAAGGUUUUCGGAUUGUAAACUCCUGUCGUUAGGGACGAUAAUGACGGUACCUAACAAGAAAGCACCGGCUAACUACGUGCCAGCAGCCGCGGUAAAACGUAGGGUGCAAGCGUGGUCCGGAAUUACUGGGUGUAAAGGGAGCGCAGGCGGACCGGCAAGUCGGAAGUGAAAACCAUGGGCUCAACCCAUGAAUUGCUUUCAAAACUGCUGGCCUUGAGUAGUGCAGAGGUAGGUGGAAUUCCCGGUGUAGCGGUGGAAUGCGUAGAUAUCGGGAGGAACACCAGUGGCGAAGGCGACCUACUGGGCACCAACUGACGCUGAGGCUCGAAAGCAUGGUAGCAAACAGGAUUAGAUACCCUGGUAGUCCAUGCCGUAAACGAUGAUUACUAGGUGUUGGAGGAUUGACCCCUUCAGUGCCGCAGUUAACACAAUAAGUAAUCCACCUGGGGAGUACGACCGCAAGGUUGAAACUCAAAGGAAUUGACGGGGGCCCACACAAGCAGUGGAGUAUGUGGUUUAAUUCGAAGCAACGCGAAGAACCUUACCAGGUCUUGACAUCCGAUGCAUAGCUUAGAGAUAAGUGAAGUCCUUCGGGACAUCGAGACAGGUGGUGCAUGGUUGUCGUCAGCUCGUGUCGUGAGAUGUUGGGUUAAGUCCCGCAACGAGCGCAACCCUUAUUGCCAGUUACUACGCAAGAGGACUCUGGCGAGACUGCCGUUGACAAAACGGAGGAAGGUGGGGAUGACGUCUAAUCAUCAUGCCCUUUAUGACCUGGGCUACACACGUACUACAA
rnacentral:rRNA from 1 species